rnacentral:rRNA from 1 species
GUGAAAAAGAACCUGAAACCGUGUACGUACAAGCAGUGGGAGCACAGGUUUACCUGUGUGACUGCGUACCUUUUGUAUAAUGGGUCAGCGACUUAUAUUCUGUAGCAAGGUUAACCGAAUAGGGGAGCCGUAGGGAAACCGAGUCUUAACCGGGCGUUAAGUUGCAGGGUAUAGACCCGAAACCCGGUGAUCUAGCCAUGGGCAGGUUGAAGGUUGGGUAACACUAACUGGAGGACCGAACCGACUAAUGUUGAAAAAUUAGCGGAUGACCUGUGGCUGGG